rnacentral:rRNA from 2 species
GAGUUUGAUCUUGGCUCAGAACGAACGCUGGCGGCAGGCUUAACACAUGCAAGUCGAACGCCCCGCAAGGGGAGUGGCAGACGGGUGAGUAACGCGUGGGAAUCUACCUAGUUCUACGGAACAACUGAGGGAAACUUCAGCUAAUACCGUAUACGCCCUACGGGGAAGAUUUAUCGGAUUAGAUGAGCCCGCGUAAGAUUAGCUAGUUGGUGGGGUAAUGGCCUACCAAGGCGACGAUCUUUAGCUGGUCUGAGAGGAUGAUCAGCCACACUGGGACUGAGACACGGCCCAGACUCCUACGGGAGGCAGCAGUGGGGAAUAUUGGACAAUGGGCGCAAGCCUGAUCCAGCCAUGCCGCGUGAGUGAUGAAGGCCUUAGGGUUGUAAGCUCUUUCAGUGGGAAGAUAAUGACGGUACCCACAGAAGAAGCCCGGCUAACUUCGUGCCAGCCGCCGCGGUAAU